UUCAUUGUAUAGGAAAACUUCCAGUCAUUCCCUCUCUGACAAGCCUUUAUUCUAAGUUGCCAUAGUGAAAGAAUGUUACAGCAUCAUUUCUCAGACUGGUUCCCAAGAUUUCAGUGAAAGUGAAAACCACAAUCCAACCACAAAACCUUUAAUCAGUGACAAUUAGCUAGAUGAGGAUUGGUUGUUUACUGUUCUGAAAUAAAAAGGCUUCUGAUGGUAAGUAAAAGGACUCCAUGUAGAAUUAUUGAAUCUGAUAGUUACAAUGCUCAGGACUUCAUUUAGAGCUACUGUAAAUUUAUACCCACAAAAACCUCAUGAAGAUGAUGGCAUAGUUUAUGGGUUAGCACCCUAUACUUCACUGAAUAUUGAGAUAUAUCCUUUUUUCCAGAGGAUGCGCCAUUCCCUUCAGUCCGCUGUGAAUGAGCUGAAGUCUCACCUAAAGUCAUGACUUAACAGCUUCUUGUGAAUAAGGUCCUUAGAAGCUUGAUCUUGCUUUUCCUCUAUUUAUAAAAUUUAGUAGUAAAGGGAGAUGCUCUGCUUUGGGUUAACACAAGGAGUUUGACUGUUGGUCUUUUUAAGUAUUGUCUACUGCCUGAUGGAGGGAGGUAAGUAGAACUUCAGAAAUCUUGUUUCUUAUGUGUUUGUCUAUUGGCAAGCAUGACAGGUACCAUUUCUAUGGAUUCUUAGCAUCUAAAAUAAAUUUCUGCACAUCGACCUUGCUGUCAGUAACAAGCCUUUGUCCCAUCAUUUACCAGUGUCCACAAAAACUGCAGGAAUUCAGCCUCUCUGAGGUUGCUGUUCCUUUGCCACAUUCAGUUGAUGUGGAUUCACAUCUUCAAACUAUUGGUGAAGGACUGGCUGAAAGAAGGUAUCAGUAUCCUAAGGCUUAUUUAUUUAACGGACCAAGUUAGAAAGAAAUAUAAAUGUUGGGAUAAAAUUUUUCUGAUCAAGUGUCUGAGACCAUUUCUGGUCUAAGGUCUGGUGCAUGGGUGACAUGAUUAUCUUCUGCAGGUGUUCCUGAUUUAAACCAUGAGGUCUAUUAGUUGAUUGAAAAAAAAUCCAAGGCUUUCUGGAAUGUUCCACCAAUUUCCAAGAAGACUUGGAAGCACAUACUGGGAUAGUGACAUGGAACUACAGGCUGGAAAAUCCUUGGAUAAGACUGUGGGUCACUAACUUGUGUGUUCCCUUCUGCUGAAGCCCCCCAGCAGGGCUGGCACAAACACAGGUGUCGAGCUCUGGUAAGAGCUGUUCUGGCCACAGGCACUGAGACCACCUUUGGUGUCUCCUUCCCACUAAAGGCACACAAUUGCCUGGUGAGCAGAGCUCAGUGUAACUCCUGUAGGAAAUGCUCCUGCAGAGCCCACUGUAGCCUUUUUGGGCUGGAUAUUGAUGAGUCUUUUCUGUGUCAACUGGUCAAGUGCUGAACAUUAGAGGAAAGGGUUUUCCAGGGGGAACUAUGCUCAUAAGAGUAAUUUCCAGGACAUUAUAACGCUCAUAGGCUUAUCAACUAACCAGCUAAUGUCUAUGCUUUUAUGCUUGGCCUUUGAAUGGCAGAGUUUUAGAUUCACAGAGCACCAACAGUCCUCUAACAACAGAAGUGUAGUCAAUGAAAGGACUGAGAUUUUGCUCACUAUCCAAAUGGUUUAAGCAUUUUGCUUACCUGCAGUUACCAAUUUGUUGAGACUGGAACGACUCAAACAUAUAAAGCUUUUCUGCAAUA